GACGAACGCUGGCGGCGUGCUUAACACAUGCAAGUCGAACGGAAAGGCCCUGCUUUUGUGGGGUGCUCGAGUGGCGAACGGGUGAGUAACACGUGAGUAACCUGCCCUUGACUUUGGGAUAACUUCAGGAAACUGGGGCUAAUACCGGAUAGGAGCUCCUGCUGCAUGGUGGGGGUUGGAAAGUUUCGGCGGUUGGGGAUGGACUCGCGGCUUAUCAGCUUGUUGGUGGGGUAGUGGCUUACCAAGGCUUUGACGGGUAGCCGGCCUGAGAGGGUGACCGGCCAAAUUGGGACUUGGAUACGGCCCAGACUCCUACGGGAGGCAGCAGUGGGGAAUAUUGCACAAUGGGCGGAAGCCUGAUGCAGCAACGCCGCGUGCGGGAUGACGGCCUUCGGGUUGGAAACCGCCUUCGCCUGUGACGAAGCGUGAGUGACGGUAAUGGGUAAAGAAGCACCGGCUAACUACGUG
rnacentral:rRNA from 1 species